GUUUGAAGGCGAGUUGGUAUGGCAUAUGGCUACUAACCUGAAGGUUGUGGGUUCGAUUCCCACCCUUCGCACA